rnacentral:misc_RNA from 1 species
AAGUCGUAACAAGGUUUCCGUAGGUGAACCUGCGGAAGGAUCAUUACUGGAUAAUCUCUUUAGAGAUAAUCUUAUCAUGUGUGAACUGUUUUUGUGGAUGAAUGGUGUAACCGGCUUGGAUAUCCAGGCUGGUCACCAUUUGUAUUUUUACCUUACUGUUUUUGAUAGACCCUGAUAUCGAGACUUGAAAUUCUUGAAAACUUUUAGCAAUGGAUCUCUAGGCUCUUGC